GCUUGUCUCAAAGAUUAAGCCAUGCAUGUCUAAGUGUAAAUACGUCUACACUGUGAAACUGCGAAUGGCUCAUUAAAUCAGUUAUCGUUUAUUUGAUGAUCUCUUGUUACAUGGAUAACCGUAGUAAUUCUAGAGCUAAUACAUGCGUCAAGUCCCAACCGCAAGGAAGGGAUGUAUUUAUUAGAUACAAAACCAAUGGGUGGCAACACUCUCACUGGUGACUCAUAGUAACUUCACGAAUCGCAUGGCUUCGGCCGGCGAUAGUUCAUUCAAAUUUCUGCCCUAUCAGCUUUCGACGGUAGUGUAGUGGACUACCGUGGCGUUAACGGGUGACGGAGAAUUAGGGUUCGAUUCCGGAGAGGGAGCCUGAGAAACGGCUACCACAUCCAAGGAAGGCAGCAGG
rnacentral:rRNA from 1 species